rnacentral:rRNA from 1 species
CAGCAGCCGCGGUAAAACGGAGGGUGCAAGCGUUACUCGGAAUCACUGGGCGUAAAGGACGCGUAGGCGGAUUAUCAAGUCUCUUGUGAAAUCUAACGGCUCAACCGUUAAACUGCUUGGGAAACUGAUAAUCUAGAGUAAGGGAGAGGCAGAUGGAAUUCUUGGUGUAGGGGUAAAAUCCGUAGAUAUCAAGAAGAAUACCUAUUGCGAAGGCGAUCUGCUGGAACUUAACUGACGCUAAUGCGUGAAAGCGUGGGGAGCAAACAGGAUUAGAUACCCGAGUAGUCCCUGUCUCUUAUAC